UCUUAAUGAUCCGAUAAUCAUUUAAUAAUAAGAUUAUCGCUUAACGGAUAAAAGUUACUCUAGGGAUAACAGGCUAAUCUUUUCCGAGAGUCCAUAUUGACGAAAAGGUUUGGCACCUCGAUGUCGGCUUAUCGCAUCCUAAGGCAGUAGUAUGUUUUAAGGGUAAGUCUGUUCGCCUAUUAAAGCGAUACGUGAGCUGGGUUCAGAACGUCGUGAGACAGUUCGGUCCAUAUCUAAUAUAAGUGUUAGAAUAUUGAAAUUAUUUUUUCUAGUACGAGAGGAUCGAAAAAAUUAUACCAAUGAUAUAUCAAUUAUUAUAUAUUGUAAUGUUGAGUAGUUAAGUAUAAAAUUUUAAUUGUUGAAGUAAUAUAAAUAAGAAAAUUUAGUUAAAAAUAAUAUUCUAAUCAUAUAAAUGAAUAAAACAAUAAUUAGAAAAAUUAUUUUAUAGAGUUAAUAUGUAUUUAUAGUAAUAUAUUUAGUAUAUAAUUCCUAAUAAGUUGAAUAUUUAAUUAU
rnacentral:ncRNA from 1 species